UACGAAGGGGGCUAGCGUUGUUCGGAUUUACUGGGCGUAAAGCGCACGUAGGCGGAUCGUUAAGUCGGGGGUGAAAUCCUGGAGCUCAACUCCAGAACUGCCUUCGAUACUGGCGAUCUUGAGUCCGGAAGAGGUGAGUGGAACUCCUAGUGUAGAGGUGGAAUUCGUAGAUAUUAGGAAGAACACCAGUGGCGAAGGCGGCUCACUGGUCCGGUACUGACGCUGAGGUGCGAAAGCGUGGGGAGCAAACAGA
rnacentral:rRNA from 1 species